UAGGGAAUUUUCCGCAAUGGACGAAAGUCUGACGGAGCAACGCCGCGUGAGCGAAGAAGGCCUUCGGGUCGUAAAGCUCUGUUGUUAGGGAAGAACAAGUACGAGAGUAACUGCUCGUACCUUGACGGUACCUAACCAGAAAGUCACGGCUAACUACGUGCCAGCAGCCGCGGUAAUACGUAGGUGGCAAGCGUUGUCCGGAAUUAUUGGGCGUAAAGCGCGCGCAGGCGGUCCUUUAAGUCUGAUGUGAAGCCCACGGCUCAACCGUGGAGGGUCAUUGGAAACUGGGGGACUUGAGUGCAGAAGAGGAGAGUGGGAAUUCCACGUGUAGCGGUGAAAUGCGUAGAGAUGUGGAGGAACACCAGUGGCGAAGGCGACUCUCUGGUCUGUAACUGACGCUGAGGCGCGAAAGCGUGGGGGAGCAAACAGGAUUAGAUACCCCUGGUAGUCCACGCCGUAAACGAUGAGUGCUAAGUGUUAGAGGGUUUCCGCCCUUUAG
rnacentral:rRNA from 1 species